AGAGAGAGAGAGAGAGAGAGGCAGAGACACAGGCAGAGGGAGAUGCAGGCUCCAUGCAGGGAGCCUGACGUGGGACUCGAUCCUGGGUCUUCAGGAUCACACCUCAGGUUGCAGGUGGCUCUAAACCGCUGCGCCACCAGGGCUGCCCUGGGCUUCAGUUUUGUCAUGGGCAAAAUGAAUAUAAGGAUUCCCCUCUCAUACGGAUCUUGUAAAGAUGAACUCGGAUCAUGCACAGAAAGCAGUAAAGUGCCUGAACACAGGCAUUCAGGAAAUGGGGGCAAUUACAGUUUGCUGAUGAAAAAUUAAAAGUUACCUGUAAAACACAUGAAUUCUGCAAAACCACCUCCAAAUCCCCGCCUGCCCUGGGGAUGCUCAGGGAAUGAGCUGCUGGUUCCAACCUGAAAUCUACUCCUGAACUCCUGGGCUGUAAGAUGGUCCUGUCUUUAUCCCCUUCUUUUUUGCUCUUCCCACUUUUCUUUCUCUCCCUGCCCAUGCCUCUCAUUAGUCCAAUUAGUAAACGGUUGCUGUCACUUCAGGUCAGCCCCAGGCCUGGAGUCCCUUGUGGAUGCGCUGUUGUGCUGGGGAAGUGAGGCGAUGGGGAAGUUGCAGGGGCACCCUAAUUUCUACAGGGCAGUGGAACAAGGAACGGAGGCUGGCAGCAGAUGGACCUCCCCUGCCCCUGUUUCUUGGGACAUCAACAGGAUAAUCAAUGAGAACUUCAUUAUGCAGAGUGAGUCUGGUUGUUUGGCAGAGCACCAGGGUCCCAUUUAGGGACUGGAAGUUUCUGGCCUGGAGAUAAUGAUCAGCCCGAGGCCUCUGGCUUUCUUCUGCACACUAGCUUUCAGCUCCCCCUUGAACAACUGUGUGCACAUGUACACGCACGCACGUGCACACACACGCAUACACCCAUGCAGGCACACAUACAAGUUCCCUGGGCUUUUAGUCACCUAUAGAGUUUGUGAGUCCAUUCCAGGCUUGGAAGGCUGGUGAGCAGGGUGAAGCUGGAGAGCCCAGAAACGCGCGACUGCUCCUGCUGAUUGCUGAGAAUAAUCAAACCCUGAGGUUCCCAAGGGCCUAUUAAACCAUUGCAAGUGUCUCAACCACAGUGACAACAGGUUCCCCCCACCUCCCCGCCCCCAACCUUGGGAGGAUAAAGAAGCAGGCCUGGGGAGUGGCCCAGCCAGCUGAAAAUAAGAUAAUGGGACUAAGAAGCUCCAGCAGUCCAGGGACAGGUUGAUUUGUUGGGAACACAAUGGAGUCAGCAUUUUAACCACCUCCCUGCCAACCCUGUGGUGUAAAACUGGAGCUUAUGCUGAGGACAGAGGAGGGGGAGCGGAGGGGGCAUGGUUUGAUGGGAAGUUGGUUCCCCAGCCAGUUACAUCAUACAUACCUGUUCAGGCACGUAUUUAGGGAAAAGGGGGUUCCUAUCAAACUCAUUGCACUGACACCUGGCUCCCACCUGCUGCCCUUGUAGGCACUACUCUUUGCCACCUAGAAUUAUGAGCUUCCAUGCUGACCUCGGCCCAAGAUGAAUGUAGAGAGUGCCGCAUUUUCUUUCACUGCUCUGACUCCCCACAGCACCAGAACACAUAGGCUUCAUAUAAUAGACUUCACUGAAGGUCUCAGAGUGUGGUUCUCAAAGUAUGGUCCGUGGGUCAGGCACAGGAGCAUCACCUGGAAACAUGUUAGUACAGGGUUCUCCAGUGCUACCCUAGACCUGCAGAAUCAGAUAUUCUGAGAACCAGCCCAACAAUCUGUAUAUUAAUAAGCCCUUCAGGUGAUCCUGUUAGUUGCCGAAAUUUAAGGACCAUUGCUUUUGGGGAUAACUUGAAAAAAAUUAUAAUGGAGGGGAAGAGACUAAAUUCAAACAGAACUGUAAAUAGGACUGUUUAAAAGCCUAUAGGAAUAUAUAAAAGGUUUUUCAUAGAGUUUUGCUUCCCAUUCUGGGGGAAGCAAACAUACAUUGGCAGAACCUCCGUGCAGAGGUUGAUUGCUGCCCUUAUAAAAACAAUCCAGGGAUGCCUGGGUGGUUGAGCAUCUGCCUUUGGCUCAGGGGGUGAUUAUGGAGUCCUGGGAUCGAGUCCCAAGAGGGGCUCCCUCCAUGGAGCCUGCUUCUCCCUCUGCCUGUGUCUCUGCCUCUCUCUGUGUGUCUCUCAUGAAUAAAUAAAAUUAAAAAAAAAAAUCUCUUAAAAAAAUCAAAAGCAUAUGUUCGUGCGAUCUCUCUCUCUCUCUCUCUCACACACACACAUACACCCAUUCCCCACCUUCUCUUCACAGAGGCCACAAUAUUCUUGAAUUUGGUGUUUAUUAUUCACAUGUUUUUACUACAUGUUAUUUUUUUGCAUAUUUUUGACUGUGUAUUUUGGAUAUACCAGAUAUAUCUGCUGGCAGUUCGCUUUUUUCCAUUUGCCAUUAAGUUUUGAGAUUUAUUUUUGGUGCUACUAUAUCUAUUUUCUUGUUGGUGGACUUUCAGGUUGAUUCUAAUUUUCAACUAUCAUAAAUAAUGCUGCAAUUAGCACUCAUGUAUAUCGAUGUACAAGAGUUUCUCUAGGAAAUAUGCCUAGGAAUGGAAUUACUCUAUUAUUUUAAUGUGCAUCUUCAACUUUACUAGGUCUUUCCAGUUUAUUCUCUGAAGUAGUUAUAUUCACUUGAGCCGCUAUAAAAACAGGGUACAAGAGUUCCUGCUGCUUAUGGCCAACAUUUGGUAUUGUUAGACUUUCAUAUUUGUGUUAAAUUUGUUGAUUUGUGUUAAAUUUGUGGAUGUGAAUGGUAUUUCUUGGGGGGUAGUUUUAAUUUACAUUUAUCUGAUUUAAUUUA
rnacentral:lncRNA from 1 species